UGCUAAUAGAUUAUCAUUAUUAGUAAAUUCUGCUCAAUGAUUUAAAUAGCCGCAGACUCUGUGCUAAGGUAGCAUAAUCAUUUGUCUUUUAAUUUAAGACUAGAAUGAAUGAAUUUACAUUUAAAUUUCUUUUUUUUAAGUAAUAUUUUAAAUUAUCUUAAAUAUUAAAAGAUAUUUAUUAAUUAGAAAGACGACAAGACCCUAUCGAACUUCACUUUAGUUAAAUUGGGGAAAUUAAUUAAUUAAUAUUUUAAUUUUAAUAUUUAAAUAAAUACCCAAUAUAAUUGAAAAUUAAUCAAGUUACCAUAGGGAUAACAGCGUAAUAUAUUUUUUAAGAUCUUAUUUUAAAAUUCAUUUACGACCUCGAUGUUGAAUAAUAACCUAAAUAAUGCAAUAAAUAUUAAAGGAAGUCUGUUCGACUUAUAAAUAAUUACA
rnacentral:rRNA from 1 species